AACGCGAAGAACCUUACCAAGGUUUGACAUGCAGGGAAAAGCCGUAGAGAUACGGUGUCCGUAAGGGUCCUGCACAGGUGGUGCAUGGCUGUCGUCAGCUCGUGUCGUGAGAUGUUGGGUUAAGUCCCGCAACGAGCGCAACCCUCGUCCUAUGUUGCCAGCGGGUAAUGCCGGGGACUCAUAGGAGACUGCCGGGGUCAACUCGGAGGAAGGUGGGGAUGACGUCAAGUCCUCAUGCCCCUUAUGUCUUGGGCUGCAAACAUGCUACAAUGGCCGGUACAAAGGGUUGCGAGACCGCAAGGUGGAGCGAAUCCCAAAAAGCCGGUCUCAGUUCGGAUUGGGGUCUGCAACUCGACCCCAUGAAGUCGGAGUCGCUAGUAAUCGCAGAUCAGCAACGCUGCGGUGAAUACGUUCCCGGGCCUUGUA
rnacentral:rRNA from 1 species